rnacentral:rRNA from 1 species
CCUACGGGAGGCGAGCAGUGGGGAAUCUUCCGCAAUGGGCGCAAGCCUGACGGAGCAACGCCGCGUGAGUGAAGAAGGGUUUCGACUCGUAAAGCUCUGUUGUCGGGGACGAAUGUGGAGAUGGUGAAUAACCAUUUUCAAUGACGGUACCUGACGAGGAAGCCACGGCUAACUACGUGC